rnacentral:rRNA from 1 species
GGACUACACGGGUUUCUAAUCCUGUUUGAUCCCCACGCUGUCGCGCAUGAGUGUCAGUUACGGGCCAGUGAGCCGCCUUCGCCACCGGUGUUCUUCCCAAUAUCUACGAAUUUCACCUCUACACUGGGAAUUCCACUCACCUCUCCCGUACUCAAGCUCUACAGUUUCAAUGGCAGUUCCGGAGUUGAGCUCCGGGCUUUCACCACUGACUUGAAAAGCCACCUGCGCGCGCUUUACGCCCAGUAAUUCCGAACAACGCUAGCCCCCUUCGUAUUACCGCGGCUGCUGGCAC